GGAAGUAAAAGUCGUAACAAGGUUUCCGUAGGUGAACCAGCGGAGGGAUCAUUACCGCGUUUUCCAACUCCCAAACCCUUCUGUGAACCUAUACCGACCCGUUGCUUCGGCGGGAUCGCCCCGGCGCCCUCAGCGGCGGCCGGUCCCAGGCGCCCGCCGGAGGACCACACCAAACUCUUCAGCUUUUCUUCAGGCGUCUUCUGAGUGACACAAAAAAAAUGAAUCAAAACUUUCAACAACGGAUCUCUUGGUUCUG
rnacentral:misc_RNA from 1 species